rnacentral:lncRNA from 1 species
GUGCUAUUAGGGUGUUUUCAAAGAGGCUUAUCUGAAGUGGGAAGCCCUAACCUGAGUGCGGGCAGCAUCCAUCUACAGCUGAACUGAAACACUAAUUGUGGAUGUAAUAUUACCAGCUUCCUCCUCAUAGCUGAGUCCACAGUUAGUGCUGCACCUGCCAGAAUGACUCCUCCUGCUGUGAUAGACUAGACUCAAGCUUUCUGAAGAAGCCUGAGAUUGUAUUGCUGGCACUGUGACCUAGAUAGUGACCAUUAUGGCUCAUUGUUAGCCUCUUCUCACUGGAUCCUCACAAAGUCAAAACUGGUACCAUGACUGCUAAAUCUCAUACAGAAAUGAGGGGAAAAAAGGAUCUAAGUACGUCAAGAAGAGAUAUGUGUAUAUGGAACUGUUGGGGGAUGACUACUAUCUUUCUUGUGUUCUAUAACUUGCUGAAAUGAACUUAACACUCCCAUGGACUGCUUUAUGUUUAUUCUGCCAGAAUGUCUAGCUGCAUUGUGAAGGACACAGUGCCCCACCAAGGGGAAAAUACCAUGAUCUCUGGUGGGUAACUUCUUAAAAAUUGGAAAGUCUAAUUUUAUAACAGAUGCCUUGGUAUCUUGAAAUAUGUACCCUUAAAACCCAAAGUGGUGUCUCGUUUGUGUGUGUGUCUGAGCAUUAUUUGUAGUCAAUUGCCAGCUUUUCCAAGAUGGAAAAGAUGCACCUCCUCUCUGCUUCCACACCUACUCUCAAGUCUGAAUUUGAUGUGUCUAAAAGGCUGCUGAAGGGUUUUAUUUUAUUUAGAAAAAAAAGAACAUUAAAGGGUCAUAUUAUGAAGUGUGGAAGCACAGGCAUUGGAAUUGAUUAGGUAGUCCUGUCUUACAACCCUGCCUCUGUAUGUUGCCACCACUAACAUUCUCAGCCUCCCUGUGCUGAUCUAAAACAUAGGCACUCUAGUGCCUCCUCCAACACCUUACCUGUUCAUUACUGGCCAUUCACUGAGUAUUUGAUGACAAGCUAUGUUCUAGUCACUAUGUCAGAACUGUGCAGAGGACUAAGUGUGACAAUGUAUUUAAAGAACUUAAUAUUGUGGUAGACUUUGAUAGACAAUUUGGCAAUUUGGUUAAUUCUUUGAGAGGUUCACAUAACUCGUUAUGAUCAUGUUCAUUCCCCUGCAUAAGCCCCUCCCAGAUCUUUUUUCUAUGUCCCUCACAACAGAAUGUUUGUUCAAAACAAUAUGUCUCCGAAGAAAUAUUAGAUUUGCAAAUCUUAUGGCCCUCUGUUUCACUAGAAUCAUAGGUUUUGGUUUUUUUUUUCUGUCAGUGUAUACUUUUUCUCAGGAUAUAUUACACCUGAAUGUGUGGACUCUAAGAACUUGUUGAAGUUAGCGCCAAUUACUGCUUGUACAUACCAUUCCUUUGAUGCAUUUAGUCAUUUAUCUCUUAGCUACAUGAGAGGCAGUGAUAUGGCUAAUUGGAAAUCUAACCAUUUCUGGUAAUAAGGAGUGUCCCACUAGUUUCAUAAUUGCAAUGAUGUAAUACCGUUUUUGUGGGAGGAAAACAUAGUGCAAAUAUUUUCAGCUGAUGAAAGAAUGGUUUAAUUUUGGAGGAGCUUUGCUAGCAUAAGUAAGUUGUCUAGAGCGUGCACACUUUGUUGGUGAGCUAUAUUAGGCGAAUUGGUGAGAUAUUUGCAUUCACGUUAAUAGGAUUGAAUAACUAUUCUUAUCCAUUCACGUCUAUUGGACUUUUUAAAGUUGUCAUCAUUCUCUUGCAAGGGAGUUCUAUUUUAGUUUCAAUUUUCAAAAGAAUACCUAAGAGACCAAGACAAUUCCUCACUGCAAAAGACACAGUGCAUAUUCCUUUGCCCUGCUUCUUUGCUCUACAGUGGUUGUGAAAUUCUUAAAGCAUCUAGGAGCAAACUUACAGUAAUCCCAGCUUAAAAACCAAAAAACAACAAAACAAACCGAACCACAAAUCCUUCCUACUUUGACUCACAAGCUGAGUAACUGGAUUAAUUGGAAACAUUGCAUGCGAACUGGGAUUCUGGAUCUUUAAAGUAAACUAGCAUUCAGCAAGCUUAUUAGGAUAAUUCGGUGUAAUCUGGCUAAGUAAUUUGUUAAUUUGUUAAUUAAUAAUAUUAACAAAUAAUUAGAAUUCUUGUUUUGAAUCACAUUAGGACCUAACACAUAAGCUUCCCCACGUUUCUAGACCCUGUGUUUUUAAAAGCUCCACUCCUUAGGAAUUUCUGAUGUUCUCACCUUGUUGAGGAGUGAGAAGCUGAGAGGUGUCUUCUCUUAAUGGUAUGUUUAUAAUUCCCUAUGAAUUCUUGUUGUAAGAUUAAUCUUUUUCAGGAAUCAUCUCAGAACACACUUGUCAGGAAGGUUGCAUUGAUUCCUAAAUAUUGCAGAAAUUAUAACCCUAGGAGUUAGACAUUUUAACAGCAGGCAGAUCACAUGUUUUCAAAGAUGGAAGAUUACAAAAAUAGCCUGCAAAGGAACUCUUAAGAACAAAGAAUGAGAAGGAAUAAAAAAAUAAAUGAAAUUUAAAUGACAUGUUUGCUUUUGUUUUUAUUUUUGUUUUGUCUCGUCUUUGACAGAGAAUUUCUGACUAGUCGUUCUGAAAGCAGAAAGGUACUCGCGAGUACUAAAGUGCCCACUCGUCUGGUCCUCUACAUCCGGGUGUAUCCCAGUUCACUUUGAUGGUAGCUACCUACUAUGGCUUGGAAAUCAUUUUGGAUGCCUGCAAAGGUCCAUAAUUGAAGGCAUGGUCCCCAAGAUGUCACUAUGGGGAAGGUAGAACUUUGGAGAUGUGUGAAAGUGAAUGUCUGAGCAGAUGCUAUUGCAGUAUGUUGUGGCUCCCCACAGAGCUCUUUCAGCUAUGGUUUGAGAUGCAAGCAUUUGCACGCUCUAACAAGCACUUCUUUCAUCACUAUUUGCUAACCUCUGGAAGUACCUGAGGUACCAGAGUAGACACUGUUCUUUUGUCUUCCUGAACUUCCAAAUUUUUAAGUGAAAUAAACAUUGUUUCUCCAUAAACUUGCUGCAGCAACACAGAGAGCUAACACACGAUCAAUCAAUAUUUACUAAUACACAGGGACUUCACACACAGAAAUAUUCUCAAACAUAAAGUGAUGAUCACAGAAAGUCCAUGAGGUAAUUAUCAAGAAAAAUAUAUAAUUUCUACAUGUUAGAUAUUUAUAUGAGAGAAAAUCUGCUGGUUUCUUUCUUCAAAACUUUCUAAUCUUAACAAAUAUUCUGAAAUCC